AGCUCCAAUAGCGUAUAUUUAAGUUGUUGCAGUUAAAAAGCUCGUAGUUGGAUUUCGGGUGGGACGCAGCGGUCUCGCAUUGCGUUUGUACUGCUGCAGCCCUCCUUCUUGCCGGGGGCGGCCUGUCGGACUUCACUGUCUGCGGGUCAGAAUCGGCGAUGUUACUUUGAGUAAAUUAGAGUGUUCAAAGCAAGCUUACGCUCUGAAUAUAAUAGCAUGGGAUAACACGACAGGACUCUGGCCUAUCGUGUUGGUCUAUAGGACCAGAGUAAUGAUUAAGAGGGACAGUCGGGGGCAUUCGUAUUCCGUUGUCAGAGGUGAAAUUCUUGGAUUUACGGAAGACGAACAUCUGCGAAAGCAUUUGCCAAGGAUGUUUUCA
rnacentral:rRNA from 1 species